rnacentral:rRNA from 1 species
UACGUAGGGUGCGAGCGUUAAUCGGAAUUACUGGGCGUAAAGGGUGCGUAGGCGGGUCUUUAAGUCAGGGGUGAAAUCCUGGAGCUCAACUCCAGAACUGCCUUUGAUACUGAAGAUCUUGAGUUCGGGAGAGGUGAGUGGAACUGCGAGUGUAGAGGUGAAAUUCGUAGAUAUUCGCAAGAACACCAGUGGCGAAGGCGGCUCACUGGCCCGAUACUGACGCUGAGGCACGAAGGCGUGGGGAGCAAACAGG